AAUAGAUACCCCGGUAGUCCACGCCGUAAACGAUGAGUGCUAAGUGUUAGGGGGUUUCCGCCCCUUAGUGCUGCAGCUAACGCAUUAAGCACUCCGCCUGGGGAGUACGGUCGCAAGACUGAAACUCAAAGGAAUUGACGGGGGCCCGCACAAGCGGUGGAGCAUGUGGUUUAAUUCGAAGCAACGCGAAGAACCUUACCAGGUCUUGACAUCCCGCUGACCGCUAUGGAGACAUAGCUUUCCCUUCGGGGGACAGCGGUGACAGGUGGUGCAUGGUUGUCGUCAGCUCGUGUCGUGAGAUGUUGGGUUAAGUCCCGCAACGAGCGCAACCCUUGUCCUUAGUUGCCAUCAUUCAGUUGGGGCACUCUAAGGAGACUGCCGUACAAAUACGGAGGAAGGUGGGGAUGGACGUCAAAUCAUCAUGCCCCUUAUGACCUGGGCUACGACACGUGCUACAAUGGACGGUACGAAACGGUUGCGAAGUCGCGAGACGGAGCCAAUCCGAGAAAGCCGUUCUCAGUUCGGAUUGCAGG
rnacentral:rRNA from 1 species